rnacentral:rRNA from 1 species
CACGUAGUUAGCCGGUGCUUCUUUACCCAUUACCGUCACUCACGCUUCGUCACAGGCGAAAGCGGUUUACAACCCGAAGGCCGUCAUCCCGCACGCGGCGUUGCUGCAUCAAGCUUCCGCCCAUUGUGCAAUAUUCCCCACUGCUGCCUCCCGUAGGAGUCUGGGCCGUAUCUCAGUCCCAAUGUGGCCGGUCACCCUCUCAGGCCGGCUACCCGUCAAAGCCUUGGUAAGCCACUACCCCACCAACAAGCUGAUAAGCCGCGAGUCCAUCCCCAACCGCCGAAACUUUCCAACCCCCACCAUGCAGCAGGAGCUCCUAUCCGGUAUUAGCCCCAGUUUCCUGAAGUUAUCCCAAAGUCAAGGGCAGGUUACUCACGUGUUACUCACCCGUUCGCCACUCGAGCACCCCACAAAAGCAGGGCCUUUCCGUUCGACUUGCAUGUGUUAAGCACGCCGCCAGCGUUCGUCCUGAGCCAGGAUCAAACUCU